AGAGAGCUCAGCUGACCAGGACGCUUCCUGGUACAUGUCGGUUUCAAAGCGCACCACAGGUUCCUGAUGCAUGUUGAACAGCGACCGUGACGACCCCAAUAGAAAUGCCCGGCUGGCCCCGCCUCCUUGCUGUAAGUGUCUCUUCCUGUGCCCUGUGAGCGGUGGACGAACAGAGGCCCACAGAGGACCACUCAGAGCAGCAGGAAGCAGCCUGCCUGGCCCGGCACCUCACUUAGGAGGCCCUGAACCAUAAGGCAGGAGGGGAGGUCGUCUCCCUGAUCCUCAGUUUCUCCAUCUGUAAAAUGGGGCUGAUGCAGGGCCAGGACUAGGGUGAGGCAAGUGAGGCUGAGUUAUGCCAGCACAGGCCUCAGCCCUGGAUAGCAGUGCUGACCUCGUGGGGCUGUCUCGAGGAAGAAAUGAAGGGACACACGUGAAUCCGUGAUGGGCAGACAGCAAGCACCCAACACAGCACAAACCACAGCAGGUCAUGAGAAAGCGAUGGAAAGAGGAGAAAACUUGGCUGCCAAUCAAAUGUUUAAAACUGGGUCCUCUGGCUUCUGAUGGCUUUCACUACGUGCCUGUGGCUCGUCUGAGGAAUUAUUCUCGGGUACCACUUGCACUCCUGGCACGGCAUCUCCAGCAUGUGUACGAGCCGCGUCCCAGGGCAGGGUUUUUGCUUAGUUACACUGGAUGAUGAAUGUUUCCACAGCUGCAAGCAAGACACUUUUGCUAAGA
rnacentral:lncRNA from 1 species